UACGUAGGGGGCAAGCGUUGUCCGGAAUCAUUGGGCGUAAAGCGCGUGUAGGCGGUUCGAUAAGUCUGCUGUGAAAGUCCAGGGCUCAACCCUGGGAUGCCGGUGGAUACUGUCGGACUAGAGUACGGAAGAGGCGAGUGGAAUUCCCGGUGUAGCGGUGAAAUGCGUAGAUAUCAGGAGGAACACCUGUGGUGUAGACGGCUUUCUGGACCAUAGCUGACGCUGAGACACGAAAGCGUGGGUAGCAAACAGG
rnacentral:rRNA from 1 species